rnacentral:lncRNA from 1 species
GCCGAGUGAAUGCAACCCGGUUAACCCCCCCCCCGGUUAACCAACACCCCCCGCCCUCCCCUACUCUCCGGCACGGCUCGGCACGGAACGGGAGCCACCGGACUUGAGCCGGGGGGCGCACACCGUGCGCUUUGCCCUGGUUUCUGAGGGUGUCUGGUUGUCCUGUGGGGUUCCUGUGCAUCCACAACUGCACCGCCUGUGGCUGAGAGCUGUGCUUGUUCCAGCUGUUUUCCUUUCCCAUUCCAGCAGAGGUAAAUAUAAAAUUUCCCAGGGCCAGCAUCCAGUGUAUCGUUCCCUGGUAUGAAAGAGGCUUUAUGGCAGCAUUCACUGCCUCCUCCUCCCCCUCCUGUGCCCACCUUGGAGCUGUAAGAAAACAGACGUGCCAUUUGAAUUUUGGAAAUAAAAGUGGAAAGGAGAUGGUGUAAGGGAUGCUAUGGUACAGGCCCAAGGCAAACAGUCUCCCAGGUUGUCUCCCAGCUUGGUGACAGCAGGGCUGACACCCUUUGAUACCCCUGAUAUUGCUUACCUGUCCUAAGAGGUACAGGCUACUAAUUGUCUUUGUGUACCCAAGACUUUGUGUACCCCAAGAGCACUUUUUGGCUGUGAACUGAGGGUAGGUUUGGGGGGGAAGGAGGAGAAAAGAUGCCUUGAGACUUCUCUGCUGACACCCCAGCCAACAUUUGUGUCCUCAGCCAUCUCAGGUCUGUAAAUCACGCCUGCAAGAGUCGCUCCUGAAAUACAGGUUUAUGCAGCAGGAAGAGGAACGGAGGAUAAAAGCGGGUAUUUAGUCAGGUGUUUAAUGCUAACGUUUGCAAGAGAGAAACCUGUUAGUGCAAGGUCAGCUGCUGAUCCCUAGUAGUUUUCAGCAUGUGACUGAGUGCAAACUCUUAAUUUCAGCUUCUGGGAGUGACAUUUCUGACAUGAUCUGUGACUACCCACCCUGCAGUUGCAGUGUGUGGUAUGGUUGUGCCUAUUUGUAGGAUGCACGGCGGGGGGAGCAGAGCACUCGGCACUUCGGGCUGUCCUCCUUCCUCGCUAGAAAGGCUUCCAGUUGGACGUGGCUUAGCAAAAUCUCUGUAGAUAACUUGCCCCUUUGAAAGGGACUGCUGUGAAAAGCAGACGUUUUCAAACAAGUCAAACAAUCGCCUUUUACCAUUUGUGUUUUAGCAGCAAGUAAAAGCCUGAACUAGAUUAGGGCCCCUUUCACUCCCGCUGUAUAA